UACAGGGGUCCCGAGCGUUGUUCGGAUUCACUGGGCGUAAAGGGUGCGUAGGUGGUGAGGUAAGUCGGAUGUGAAAUCUCCGGGCUCAACCCGGAAAUGGCAUUGGAAACUACCUUGCUGGAGGAUUUGAGGGGGGAUUGGAAUACUUGGUGUAGCAGUGAAAUGCGUAGAUAUCAAGUGGAACACCAGUGGCGAUGGCGAAUCCCUGGAAAAUACCUGACACUGAGGCACGAAAGCUAGGGGAGCAAACAGG
rnacentral:rRNA from 1 species